ensembl:antisense Gm28793 predicted gene 28793
GGAGGCUCCUGGGCCCGGGCUGCCCCAGGCAGGCUGGCCUUUAAGGGCGGACCCCUGUCACCCAAAGGGAGUCGUUCUCCCCUCGCCUCUUUUCUUACCUAAACCCAUCCCUACACACACACACACCACACACACACACACACACACACACUCACACAGCUUGGCGUGUUGUUUAAAACAGGUGGAAGACCUCUGUAAUGAUAUUAUGCCUUUCAAUAAAAAUUUUAUGAGGUGUAUUUGAUUAUAGAUUAAUGUGUCCCUAAUAAAACGGACGGAUGGAGCAGCUCGGAGUGCCCCUCCCUCUACCGCGCUCACACUCCCGGGGCAGCCACAUGUCCUUGAUCCACCCCCUUUCCAGUUUUCCCCUUGAGAGGUAAGGCCGGGCAGCCUUGAAUCUGAGAGAAAUGC